GUGUUAUGGAAUUGCAUGAUUGUAGUCAUGAACAUUGGAAGUCUAAGUUUAUUGAUGGUUUACCUUCGAUUUUUGCUGAAAGAGUUAGAAAGAAUUUACGUGGCACUAAUAAUUGUAGUCAUGAACAUUGGAAGUCUAAGUUUAUUGAUGGUUUACCUUCGAUUUUUGCUGAAAGAGUUAGAAAGAAUUUACGUGGCACUAAUAACAAGAUUCCUUAUGAUUCUCUUACUUAUGGUAAGAUCAUUAGUGUUUGCACGCAGG
rnacentral:lncRNA from 1 species